rnacentral:rRNA from 1 species
UACAGAGAGUGCAAGCGUUGUUCGGAAUUAUUGGGCGUAAAGGGCGCGUAGGCGGUCUACUAAGUUGGAUGUGAAAACUCUGGGCUUAACCCAGAGCCUGCAUUCAAAACUGAUAGGCUAGAGUUCUGGAGGGGAUAGCGGAAUUCCUGGUGUAGCGGUGAAAUGCGUAGAUAUCAGGAGGAACACCGGUGGCGAAGGCGGCUAUCUGGACAGAAACUGACGCUGAGGCGCGAAAGCUAGGGGAGCAAACAGG